rnacentral:rRNA from 1 species
UAGAUACCCUGGUAGUCCGCACGGUAAACGAUGGAUGCCCGCCGUCCGCCCUUUUAUUGGGCGUGUGGCCAAGCGAAAGCAUUAAGCAUCCCACCUGGGGAGUACGCCGGCAACGGUGAAACUCAAAGGAAUUGACGGGGGCCCGCACAAGCGGAGGAACAUGUGGUUUAAUUCGAUGAUACGCGAGGAACCUUACCCGGGCUUGAAUUGCAGAGGAACGAUCCAGAGAUGGUGAGGCCCUUCGGGGCUU